rnacentral:misc_RNA from 1 species
AGUCGUAACAAGGUCUCCGUUGGUGAACCAGCGGAGGGAUCAUUACAGAGUUGCAAAACUCCCUAAACCAUUGUGAACGUUACCUAUACCGUUGCUUCGGCGGGCGGCCCCGGGGUUUACCCCCCGGGCGCCCCUGGGCCCCACCGCGGGCGCCCGCCGGAGGUCACCAAACUCUUGAUAAUUUAUGGCCUCUCUGAGUCUUCUGUACUGAAUAAGUCAAAACUUUCAACAACGGAUCUCUUGGUUCUGGCAUCGAUGAAGAACGCAGCGAAAUGCGAUAAGUAAUGUGAAUUGCAGAAUUCAGUGAAUCAUCGAAUCUUUGAACGCACAUUGCGCCCGCCAGCAUUCUGGCGGGCAUGCCUGUUCGAGCGUCAUUUCAACCAUCAAGCCCCCGGGCUUGUGUUGGGGACCUGCGGCUGCCGCAGGCCCUGAAAAGCAGUGGCGGGCUCGCUGUCGCACCGAGCGUAGUAGCAUACAUCUCGCUCUGGUCGCGCCGCGGGUUCCGGCCGUUAAACCACCUUUUAACCCAAGGUUGACCUCGGAUCAGGUAGGAAGACCCGCUGAACUUAAGCAUAUCAAUAA